rnacentral:rRNA from 1 species
GCCGGAGGGUGCUAGCGUUGUUCGGAAUUACUGGGCGUAAAGCGCACGUAGGCGGACGAGAAAGUCAGAGGUGAAAUCCCAGGGCUCAACCUUGGAACUGCCUUUGAAACUCCUUGUCUUGAGGUCGAGAGAGGUGAGUGGAAUUCCGAGUGUAGAGGUGAAAUUCGUAGAUAUUCGGAGGAACACCAGUGGCGAAGGCGGCUCACUGGCUCGAUACUGACGCUGAGGUGCGAAAGCGUGGGGAGCAAACAGG